rnacentral:rRNA from 1 species
AUUAAACGCUGGCGGCAUGCCUUACACAUGCAAGUCGAACGGUAGCGCGGGGCAACCUGGCGACGAGUGGCGAACGGGUGAGUAAAGCAUCGGAACGUGCCCUGGAAUGGGGGAUAACGUAGCGAAAGUUACGCUAAUACCACAUAUUCUGUGAGCAGGAAAGCAGGGGACCGCAAGGCCUUGCGCUCUUUGAGCGGCCGAUGUCAGAUUAGCUAGUUGGUGAGGUAAAGGCUUACCAAGGCGACGAUCUGUAGCGGGUCUGAGAGGAUGAUCCGCCACACUGGAACUGAGACACGGUCCAGACUCCUACGGGAGGCAGCAGUGGGGAAUUUUGGACAAUGGGGGCAACCCUGAUCCAGCCAUGCCGCGUGAGUGAAGAAGGCCU